rnacentral:tRNA from 1 species
AAGAUAUUAGUAAAACAUUACAUCACCUUGUCAUAGUGAAAUUAUGAAUUAAAACAUCAUAUAUCUUA